UGUAGGUUUCCGACACCCCCGGUCCACCCAAUCGCCCCUCCUGGUCCUAUUUUCUUCCAUUCUGCCCUUCUCUUCCUUACUUUGCAUCUGUACCCUCCACCUCUGCCUCCGCUGCUGUAUGUCUCCGGCCGCCAUUGCCGGACGUCUGCAACCAGCAGCGACGCGUCUACGACGAAGCUGCCCACUCUGGAGCUGUUUGUACCCAGUAUGAAGAAUGGUGAGCUACUCAAACAUGGACGAUGAGUUGUGGUGCGAUGCGUGGCUGGCCGUAUCCGUGGAUUUUAUGGGCAUGAGCGGAGGGGAGCCCUUCUGGGAGCAAGUGCAUGAAAAGUUUCACGCAUGAAAGCACAUUGCGCCCCACGACAUGUACCUCAUUCAACCACGCAACGUGAGGUCGUUGUCCUCUCACUGGCACGCUGUCCAGAUUAGCGUCAUCAAGUUUUGCAACGUGAUUCGUCAGCUCGAGAAAAUGUUGCCAUUGCACGUGGCAGGGGACGAGAUCCCCCCACGCCGUCGUGGUGUAACACGGGACAGAGGGGCGGCCAUUUACGUGCACACACUGUUGGAUGAAUCUGAAGGGGUAUGUGUGGA